CAGCAGAAUGUGCUGACAGUGCAGUGUUGAAGCCAGGAGACCCUCUGUUUCCUCUUAGAGUAGAUAGUGAGGUCCCCAGCCUGUUGUUCCCAGGCUGAAACUGUGUAAUGACCCACCAGAGGAAGGGACAGAGGAGCCAGCCAGUUUCCCAACUGGGCCAGAGUAGUCUAGUCCUGGUGUAGCCCCUGCCAGACAUGAUGGGGUCUGCUCUGAGAAACGACACAGCUCCUAAGGGCUUGGGCCCAGGUAUCGACCACCUCAGCCUCGUGUCCGGCACAGAGUGAUGACCUUGGGAGACCCUGAUGGGACUAGCCACCUGGGGAGCUCUCGGCUGUGCGAGCUCCCUUCCCAGCACUUCACUCAUGGUAACUUCUCGAAGCUCUGAGUAUAGGACAGCUGGGUACCCAGUCUGAGGCCCAGAGAGGCAGUGAUUUUCCGAAAGGCAAGCCCGGAUCUCAUCUCAUCUCUGUAGGAACUCAGGGACACCUUGAGUUCCACCCCCAGCCCCCAUUCCAGGGGGGUCCGAACCACAGUCAGGGCUUGGCUGGUGGUGGGGGACACUUCCUGGAGCCCCCCUCCACCGCAACCUGCGCCCGCCCAGGCUUCGGAUUUCAGCCAGCCUUGGGGUGAGCGGCCUGUUCUGCCCUGUGCCCGAGAGGAAUGUUCGCGGUGGCAUGGGCCCGGGUCCGAGAAGAAAGGCAGCCUUGUGGGCGAAAGGGUACUCGCUGGACACCUCUGAAGCCACACUGUGCACCUGCUUCCUUGUCCCUAGCCCACCCCGUUCCAGCUCACAGCUCACAGCUCCUGCUUGAUGCACAGGCUCUGACAGACCUUGCAGUGACCUGAGAAGCCACCAGCAUCAAGUGAGUGAAGCAGGAGGCCAUGCAGCUGAGGUACCAGACCACCAGGGCCAGCAUCAACUGUGAAAUGCCAACUGUGUCUGUGUGUGGUGGCACACACUUGUAACCCCAAGAGUUCAAGAUCAUCCACAGGGGGGUUGG
rnacentral:sRNA from 1 species